GGAUUUAGUUCUUUGACCUCAAUUCUGUGU
rnacentral:piRNA from 1 species